AGCUCCAAUAGCGUAUAUUUAAGUUGUUGCAGUUAAAAAGCUCGUAGUUGGAUUUCGGGCGGGAUUGGGCGGUCCGCCUCUGGUGUGCACUGCCGAGUCUCGCCUUUCUGUCGAGGACGGGCUCCUGGGCUUAACUGUCCGGGACUCGGGCUCGACGAGGUUACUUUGAGUAAAUUAGAGUGUUCAAAGCAGGCGAUCGCCCUGAAUACAUUAGCAUGGAAUAGCACGAUAGGACUCUGGCCUAUCUUGCUGGUCUGUAGGACCGGAGUAAUGAUUAAGAGGGACAGUCGGGGGCAUUCGUAUUUCAUUGUCAGAGGUGAAAUUCUUGGAUUUAUGAAAGACGAACUUCUGCGAAAGCAUUUGCCAAGGAUGUUUUCA
rnacentral:rRNA from 1 species